rnacentral:rRNA from 1 species
ACGAACGCUGGCGGCGAGCUUAACACAUGCCAGUCGAACGGAAAGGCCCCUUUGGGGGUACUCUAGUGGCGAACGGGUGAGGAACACGUGAGUAACCCGCCCUUGACUUCGGGAUAACUUCAGGAAACUUGGGCUAAUACCGGAUAGGAAUCCUUGCUGCAUGGGGGGGGUUGGAAAGCUUCUGCGGUUUUGGAUGGACUCGCGGCUUAUCAGCUUGUUGGUGGGGUAGUGGCUUACCAAGGCUUUGACGGGUAGACGGCCUGUGAGGGCGACCGGCCACAUUGAGACUGAGAUACGGCACAGACUCCUACGGGAGGCAGCAGUGGGGAAUAUUGCACAAUGGGCGGAAGCCUGAUGCAGCAACGCCGCGUGCGGGAUGACGGCUUUCGGGUUGUAGACCGCUUUCAGCAGGAGCGAAGCUUGUGGUGACGGUACCUGCAGAAGAAGCACCGGCUAACUACGUG